UCAGUAAGUGAAAAAUGACGAAAAUUCAUUAACAAGGUGAUGGCAAGUUGUACAAGCAUAAAAUAUAUUUCAGAAAAAAACUCAAUUUUCUAAUGAAAUAUGGCGAUUUUCCACUACACUUAUAAUCAAUCCAAACAAUAAGUUCCUAUGAGAAGAUAUAUGUUUAUUAUUCUUCCAAACAUUCAUAUCAAACCUCAGCCAAGCUAAACACUAAUCAAUGACAAUAAUUGGAUGCAGAAGUGCCAACUUGUUCCACGAAAUACG
rnacentral:lncRNA from 1 species